rnacentral:lncRNA from 1 species
UUUGCUUUCCAGAUGUGUUCCUAAAGUCUGUUUUACUUCACAGGACAAAGAAUCCAAAACCUUAGGAAGGACUGGUGAAAUAAAAACAGAAGAUGACACCCACAUGGAUGAAGUAGAGGAAAGGGAAGCUCAGCAGGACAAAGACUCCCGAAUACUUGUGGUGAAUUCUGAGAUAACAGGCAGCGGUAUGCCAUUUUUGGGAAUGGUCUUGCAUUUGAGUUCUUAAUGUUUGAGUCUUUCAUUAAAUAUUUGUUUUAUUGAAAAUGCUGUAUUCGUUGUCUAAAAUAAUGUUUACCCUGACUUUUAGAAGCAGAAAUCUACAAAGAGGGAGCAGAGAGCAUAGAGACUCAGCAGCAGUCUGAAAACAUAGAAGUGGUUGCUGGUUGCACGGAAGUGGCUGCUGAGGAGCAGCGUGAAAAGGUUGAAGAAGUGGAGCAGGUUCCAGAUGAGAAUGGCCAUUCUGAUGAACCAGCUGACAACAUAAAAAACUGUGAAGAAGUCUUUAAACAAGCAGCUACGCUUGCAAGGAGAAACUGCUCAUUGAUUGACCUUGAUAAACCAGAGCAAGAUGCUGUUGUUCAGAAACUUGCCUUAUGUCAUUGGGUGAAGGAGGAAGGGACAUUGUUUUCAGAGGGAGAAAUGUUACAAAGUAUUGUGAAGGUCAUACGAGAAACAAUCCUCACUGAAGUUCAGGACUCUUUUUUCUUUUCCAUCAUCACUGAUAGAGCUAUUUCAGUGGGUGAUGCAAAGUUCCUGCCAGUCUUUGUUAGAUAUGUGAAUGACUGCAUUCCUAAAGUGGAGCUUAUAGGAUUUCUGCCCUUUAAUGAAAGCUCCGAUGUGGAUUUGCAAGCUAAGGCUCUUUCAGCAACACUUGAAGAUGAGUGGGGACUUCAGAUGGGCUGCUGUCGUGGCCAGUCCAUCAUGUGUUUUGGUACGGGGAGCAAAAGUCUCAGGAAGAUGGCUUUGGGUUUUUUAGAGAGCUAUCCAUUAGCUGUGAACACUCCCAGUGAAUCUUGUGGACUUGCCUAUUGGCUGGCUUUAAGCCUACAAAAUACAUCCAUUACAAAGGUUCUAGAGACAGCUGAAGAUCUAUUACAGUUUUUUGACCAGUCACCCAAAUUAGAGAGUGAACUUGCCAAGACCAUGGAUGGGCUGCUGAAUACCCCACGGGAAGCACUUGCAGAGGUCCCAGAGACCUGCCUGUCCAGAUGGAAGAAGAGAGAAGACUUCUUUGAUAUUUUGGUGGACAUGCUGGAGGGAGUCCUGAACUGCUUAGAUUCUGUGAGCACCAACUCCAGUGGGUCAUGGAGUGAUAGCAUGUCACUGCAUUCCCAGACCCUGUCCACAGCUCUUAGACAGGUUGAUUUUAUCAUCCCCCUAGUGAUCUUGAAGAAUGCCUGUGCGCCCUUAAGGAAUUGCAGCACUGUGUUUCGCUGUGGAAACCCUGCUGACAUUAUUUGCGAGCUUGAGAAGAUAAUGCCAAUAAUAGAUACUUUUAGCAAGAUGUUGGGCAAUGUGAGUGUGGUGCAUUCUGUCUGGUUUGACGAGGCAGUGGAGCUUGCAACUAAGGUCAUGGGAUUGCUGUCUUAUGCGGAAUCUGUCAGUGGCUAUGAUUCACCAGAAACAUCUUACAUGGAAGCAGUUAGCUUACCAGUUCUAAAUGGUUUGAUUGAAGAAAUGAAGUUUAACUUCUCAGAGAAUCACCUAAAAGCCCUGAAAGUUUUGUCCCUUUUGCCAACGUGCAACCCUCUGUCUAUUCUCCCAGAAUCCACAGAUAAACUGCACACUAUAUACCUGAGUGAUCUCCCUGAACCAGAAACAGCGGAAGAAGACAUUAACACCUGGGCCACGGUAUGGAGGGAGAAGUAUCAAGAUGUUUGUCCUCCCACCUCCAUCUCUGAGACAUUGCUCCAUAAUGAAGCCAAAAACCUUCCAAAUGUUGCAACCCUUCUUAAGCUUGUGGCCGUGUUGCCCAGCAUUAGCAUGGAGUGCGAUCUAAUGAAGACAACGCUAAACUCUUUGAGGACCUUACUCAGAGACGGUAUCUUCAACAGGGGCAGUAAGACUGAUGCAGUGAUGCUUCUUAUGCAUCGCCAGACACUACAGAGCCUGGAAGAGGUGAUUGAGAAAUGCAUGGCAGGUGAUCCAGAAAGUAAUCAAUUUCUUGCUCAGGUAAAGUCAAGAGUUAAUCACCUGAGAAUGGAAGGUGGUAAGUAAGCUCAAAUGGGCUUUCAAAGUAAUGAAAUUGCUGUUGUGUUUUAUUCUGACACACUCUUUCCUGUCCCUUUCCAGAGGUGAUUGCCAUGGCUCCACAGGAGUUGGUUGUAGAUACAAAUGGUUCGGAUUAUCCACAAGAGGCAAAUGUUGCUGGAAUCGGUCAGUAAUGUUAAAUGAAAAAUAUUAGUAAUAAGCAAUUAUCUCUUUUUAUUAAAUAUUAUGUCUCAUCCUUUGUUUAGAUGUCGAAACGGCUGCUCCAGAGGAAAUUCUAGUGGAAACCAAUGACUCUAGUGAAAUAGAAAGAGCUGAAGAAAAUACACCUGACCAGCCAUCAUCUUUAACAGUUAGCAGCUCAGACAAAGCCACAACUGCAGCUCAAGUCAUCCCUGCUUGUAGCUCUCUGCCAGCCAGCACACCUGACCAACCAUCAGAAUCUGUCCAAGGUGCCGCUAUGCAAUCUACAGCAGCAGAACAUGAUAGAAGUGAUCAACUGAUCGCACUUGUUCAAGAUCUAAAUGAUAGGUCUGAAGUACUUGAUCAGUGUGGAAUUGGUCUACCAGUAACAGGGGAUCAAAUAGUAACUAAUCAAGGUGGAACUGAGCAGUCCAAUGAAGAAGAGCCAGUUAGCACUGUUCAGUCAGUAUCAGCUAAUCAAAGUGAAACUGAUCAACCUAUGGAAGUUGAUCAGUUUGUUGCCACAGAACCAGGUGAAACUGACCAGCCAGCAACAGAGGAACAAAGUGUACCUGAUCAGUUCACGGCAGUUGCUCAAGUUGAUACUGAUUCCUCCAUAGUUGCUCAAGAUGAAGGUUGUCACACAGUAACAGGCUUAGCAGAUGGUCAGUUUGUGUCAGAGGAUCAGAGUGAAUCUGUUCAGCUCAUGUCAGUGGAUCACAGUGUAAAUGAUAAGUUCGAGUCAGUCCUUCAAAGCGAAACUGAUCAACCCAUGGAAAUU